rnacentral:rRNA from 1 species
GUGGGGAAUCUUCCGCAAUGGACGAAAGUCUGACGGAGCAACGCCGCGUGAGUGAAGAAGGUUUUCGGAUCGUAAAGCUCUUUCGUUAGGGACGAACGUGCUCUUUGUGAAUAAUGAGGAGUAAUGACGGUACCUAAAUAAGAAGCCACGGCUAACUACGUGCCAGCAGCCGCGGUAAUACGUAGGUGGCAAGCGUUGUCCGGAAUUAUUGGGCGUAAAGCGCGCGCAGGCGGGAUAUCAAGUCUGUCUUAAAAGUGCGAGGCUCAACCUCGUGAGGGGACAGAAACUGGUAUUCUUGAGUGUCGGAGAGGAAAGUGGAAUUCCAAGUGUAGCGGUGAAAUGCGUAGAUAUUAGGAAGAACACCAGUGGCGAAGGCGACUUUCUGGACGAAAACUGACGCUGAGAUGCGAAAGCCAGGGUAGCGAACGGGAUUAGAUACCCCUGUAGUCC